rnacentral:rRNA from 1 species
UACGUAGGGGGCUAGCGUUGUCCGGAAUCAUUGGGCGUAAAGCGCGUGUAGGCGGUCCGGUAAGUCCGCUGUGAAAGUCGAGGGCUCAACCCUCGAAUGCCGGUGGAUACUGUCGGGCUAGAGUGCGGAAGAGGCGAGUGGAAUUCCAGGUGUAGCGGUGAAAUGCGUAGAUAUCUGGAGGAACACCGGUGGCGAAGGCGGCAUCCUGGACCGACACUGACGCUGAGGCGCGAAAGCUAGGGGAGCAAACGGG